rnacentral:rRNA from 1 species
AGAGCGAACGCUGGCGGCAGGCCUAACACAUGCAAGUCGAGCGGCCGUAGCAAUACGGCAGCGGCAGACGGGAGAGUAACACGUGGGAACGCGCCCUUCGGUUCGGAAUAACUCAGGGAAACUUGGGCUAAUACCGGAUACGCCCUUACGGGGAAAGAUUUAUUGCCGAAGGAACGGCCCGCGUCCGAUUAGCUUGUUGGUGAGGUAACGGCUCACCAAGGCGACGAUCGGUAGCUGGUCUGAGAGGAUGACCAGCCUCACUGGGACUGAGACACGGCCCAGACUCCUACGGGAGGCAGCAGUGGGGAAUAUUGGACAAUGGGCGCAAGCCUGAUCCAGCCAUGCCGCGUGGGUGAUGAAGGCCCUAGGGUUGUAAAGCCCUUUCGGCGGGAAGAUAAUGACGGUACCCGCGAGAAGAAGCCCCGGCUAACUUCGUGCCAGCAGCCGC